UAGAGAAAUAUAACAGAGAAUAUAAUGGGUACUCUAAAGUCCAAACAGAAAGCAGUUUUUUUUUUUUUUUUUUUUUUACAGGGAAAGCAGAGUUUAACUCAAAAAAAUGAAGCCAACAGGCAUUAUAAUUGUCCUUAGGCUUAUAUUAAUGUUUUUUUUUUUUUUUUUUAUGUAAUUAUGUUAUAUAUAUAUAUAUAUGAGCUAGCAAGCUUUAUUAGUGCCUUGUAAACAAAAAAGUCUUGUUAACUAAUGCCUCCAAAACACUAGUUAAGGAAAAAAAAAAUAUUUGCAUUGAAAAUAUGGGAGACCCUAAUAUGGACCUCAAUUUAAAGGGACCAUUGGUGAACCUCACAAAGUGACUUAUUAUAGCCGGUCAUUUUUUCUUACUGCAAUCAAAUUAACUCUCUUACUCUUCUCUAUCCCCUCUUAUAUGCUUCAUUUGUUUCUUCACCAAUGUCAUUUUUGGCUCCACCACUCCAUUCCCUUCCCCAAUCCUCUCUCUUCUUUCAUAUUUCAUUUUCAUCUUUACAAACCACAAAGUUUAGUAUUAUUAUUUGAUGUUGUUUGCCUUUUCAAAGCCUCCAAACAAAAAUUGAAUCAGAGGGGAUAUCUGAGGUGAUUGUAAUUUUUGUAGUUGUGGUUGAAAUUUGAAGCUUUUGGGUGAAGGGAGUUAAAGGGACAAAUGUGACAUUGUGGCUGUUUGUUGCUGUUGAUGACAAAAUAGCCCAACAGAUUACUAGUACUCUCCUAGAGACAAAUCUAAUUAGAAACACUCACACAAAUGAAAAGGAUUGACCCAUUCACUAAGAGUGACGUGUAUAAAGGAAUGGGCAAAAUAGGACGUGUUCAUGAUCACAAAGGGUAAUCCGAGUAAUUAGGAAACGAAUCGACAAUGGACAGAUUGAAGGUGGAUAGUUGAGGUUUGAGGUUUGUUCACCAGCAUAGACUUUGACAUGAACCAGCGAGAAGAGAUGUAAAGAGAGAAGAUGAAAUUAAAUCCAGUAAUUAAGCCUCAAAACAAAACAUAAAAGAUAGUGACCGGCUAUAGUAAGUAAGUAACAAAGAUUCACCAAUGGUCCCUUUAAAUUGAGGUCCAUAUUAGGGACUACCUGAAAACAUAAUUUUUUACAUUUUUUAACUUUAUUAUAUAAGUUUUAAGAUACUUAUACUAUAUUU
rnacentral:lncRNA from 1 species